GACGAACGCUGGCGGCGUGCUUAACACAUGCAAGUCGAGCGGUAAGGCCCUUUCGGGGGUACGACGAGCGGCGAACGGGUGAGUAACACGUGGGUGACCUGCCCUCAGCUCUGGGAUAAGCCUGGGAAACCGGGUCUAAUACCGGAUAUGACUCCAUGACGCAUGUUGUGGGGUGGAAAGCCUUGUGCGGCUGAGGAUGGGCCCGCGGCCUAUCAGCUUGUUGGUGGGGUGAUGGCCUACCAAGGCGACGACGGGUAGCCGGCCUGAGAGGGCGACCGGCCACACUGGGACUGAGACACGGCCCAGACUCCUACGGGAGGCAGCAGUGGGGAAUCUUGCGCAAUGGGCGAAAGCCUGACGCAGCGACGCCGCGUGAGGGAUGACGGCCUC
rnacentral:rRNA from 1 species